UACGUAGGGGGCAAGCGUUGUUCGGAAUUACUGGGCGUAAAGCGCACGUAGGCGGCUUUCUAAGUCGGGGGUGAAAUCCUGGAGCUCAACUCCAGAACUGCCUUCGAUACUGGAGAGCUUGAGUCCGGGAGAGGUGAGUGGAACUGCGAGUGUAGAGGUGAAAUUCGUAGAUAUUCGCAAGAACACCAGUGGCGAAGGCGGCUCACUGGCCCGGUACUGACGCUGAGGUGCGAAAGCGUGGGGAGCAAACAGG
rnacentral:rRNA from 1 species